rnacentral:rRNA from 1 species
AUGCAAGUCGAGCGGCAGCGCGGGGGCAACCCUGGCGGCGAGCGGCGGACGGGUGAGGAACACAUCGGAAUCUACCUUGUCGUGGGGGAUAACGUAGGGAAACUUACGCUAAUACCGCAUACGACCUACGGGUGAAAGCGGCGGACCGCAAGGCGUCGCGCGAUUGGAUGAGCCGAUGUCCGAUUAGCUAGUUGGCGGGGUAAAGGCCCACCAAGGCGACGAUCGGUAGCUGGUCUGAGAGGACGACCAGCCACACUGGAACUGAGACACGGUCCAGACUCCUACGGGAGGCAGCAGUGGGGAAUAUUGGACAAUGGGCGCAAGCCUGAUCCAGCCAUGCCGCGUGGGUGAAGAAGGCCUUCGGGUUGUAAAGCCCUUUUGUCCGGAAAGAAAAGCAUUCGGUUAAUACCCGGGUGUGAUGACGGUACCGGAAGAAUAAGCACCGGCUAACUUCGUGCCAGCAGCCGCGGUAAUACGAAGGGUGCAAGCGUUACUCGGAAUUACUGGGCGUAAAGCGUGCGUAGGUGGUUCGUUAAGUCUGUCGUGAAAUCCCCGGGCUCAACCUGGGAAUGGCGAUGGAUACUGGCGGGCUAGAGUGCGGUAGAGGAGAGUGGAAUUCCCGGCGUAGCAGUGAAAUGCGUAGAGAUCGGGAGGAACAUCAGUUGCGAAGGCGGCUCUCUGGACCAGCACUGACACUGAGGCACGAAAGCGUGGGGAGCAAACAGGAUUAGAUACCCUGGUAGUCCACGCCCUAAACGAUGCGAACUGGACGUUGGAUGCAACUAGGCAUUCAGUGUCGAAGCUAACGCGUUAAGUUCGCCGCCUGGGG